GACGAACGCUGGCGGCGUGCUUAACACAUGCAAGUCGAACGGUAAGGCCCUUCGGGGUACACGAGUGGCGAACGGGUGAGUAACCCGUGGGUGAUCUGCCCUGCACUUCGGGAUAAGCCUGGGAAACUGGGUCUAAUACCGGAUAGGACCCUGGGAUGCAUGUCCUGGGGUGGAAAGCUUUUGCGGUGUGGGAUGGGCCCGCGGCCGAGCAGCUUGUUGGUGGGGGGAUGGCCUACCAAGGCGACGACGGGUAGCCGGCCUGAGAGGGUGACCGGCCACACUGGGACUGAGAUACGGCCCAGACUCCAACGGGAGGCAGCAGUGGGGAAUAUUGCACAAUGGGCGCAAGCCUGAUGCAGCGACGCCGCGUGAGGGAUGACGGCCUUCGGGUUGUAAACCUCUUUCAGCACCGACGAAGCGCAAGUGACGGUAGGUGCAGAAGAAGGACCGGCCAACUACGUGCCAGCCGCCGCCGUAA
rnacentral:rRNA from 1 species